rnacentral:rRNA from 1 species
UACGUAGGGGGCAAGCGUUGUCCGGAUUUAUUGGGCGUAAAGAGCGUGUAGGCGGCCAAGCAGGUCAGCUGUGAAAACUCGAGGCUCAACCUCGAGACGUCGGUUGAAACCGCUUGGCUAGAGUCCGGAAGAGGAGAGUGGAAUUCCCGGUGUAGCGGUGAAAUGCGCAGAUAUCGGGAAGAACACCCGUGGCGAAGGCAGAUCUCUGGGCCGUAACUGACGCUGAGGAGCGAAAGCAUGGGGAGCGAACAGG